rnacentral:rRNA from 1 species
AACGAACGCUGGCGGCAUGCCUAACACAUGCCAGUCGAACGAGACCUUCGGGUCUAGUGGCGCACGGGUGCGUAACGCGUGGGAACCUGCCCUUAGGUUCGGAAUAACUCCCCGAAAGGGGUGCUAAUACCGGAUAAUGUCUUCGGACCAAAGAUUUAUCGCCUUUGGAUGGGCCCGCGUUGGAUUAGCUAGUUGGUAGGGUAAAAGCCUACCAAGGCGACGAUCCAUAGCUGGUCUGAGAGGAUGAUCAGCCACACUGGGACUGAGACACGGCCCAGACUCCUACGGGAGGCAGCAGUGGGGAAUAUUGGACAAUGGGCGAAAGCCUGAUCCAGCAAUGCCGCGUGAGUGAUGAAGGCCUUAGGGUUGUAAAGCUCUUUUACCCGGGAUGAUAAUGACAGUACCGGGAGAAUAAGUUCCGGCUAACUCCGUG